rnacentral:rRNA from 1 species
AGAGGGGGCAAGCGUUAUUCGGAAUUAUUGGGCGUAAAGGGCGCGUAGGCGGCUUUUCAAGUGACGGGUGAAAUCCCUCGGCUUAACCGAGGAACUGCCUGUCAGACUGGAAGGCUUGAGACCGGGAGAGGUGAGUGGAAUUCCCAGUGUAGCGGUGAAAUGCGUAGAUAUUGGGAGGAACACCAGUGGCGAAGGCGGCUCACUGGACCGGUACUGACGCUGAGGCGCGAAAGCGUGGGGAGCAAACAGGAUUAGAUACCCUGGUAGUCCACGCCGUAUACGAUGAGUGCUUGGUGUAGCGGGUAUCGACCCCUGCUGUGCCGAAGUCAACACAUUAAGCACUCCGCCUGGGGAGUACGGUCGCAAGACUG